GUGGGGAAUUUUGGACAAUGGGCGAAAGCCUGAUCCAGCCAUGCCGCGUGCAGGAUGAAGGCCUUCGGGUUGUAAACUGCUUUUGUACGGAACGAAAAGACUCUGGUUAAUACCUGGGGUCCAUGACGGUACCGUAAGAAUAAGCACCGGCUAACUACGUGCCAGCAGCCGCGGUAAUACGUAGGGUGCAAGCGUUAAUCGGAAUUACUGGGCGUAAAGCGUGCGCAGGCGGUUAUAUAAGACAGAUGUGAAAUCCCCGGGCUCAACCUGGGAACUGCAUUUGUGACUGUAUAGCUAGAGUACGGCAGAGGGGGAUGGAAUUCCGCGUGUAGCAGUGAAAUGCGUAGAUAUGCGGAGGAACACCGAUGGCGAAGGCAAUCCCCUGGGCCUGUACUGACGCUCAUGCACGAAAGCGUGGGGAGCAAACAGGAUUAGAAACCCUAGUAGUCC
rnacentral:rRNA from 1 species